AGUCAAUAGAUACCCCGGUAGUCCUGGCCGUAAACGAUGUCGACUAGAUCGCAGUUCCUUCAAACGGUAUUGCGGUCGAAAGCAAAAAAAGUGCUAAGUCGACCGCCUGGGAAGUACGGUCGCAAGGCUAAAAACUCAAAGAAAUUGACGGGGGCUCACACAAGCGGUGGAGCAUGUGGUUCAAUUCGAAGCAACGCGCAGAACCUUACCUGGGCUUGACAUGCUAGGAUUAUCCCUAUGAAAGUAGGGUAGGCCCUUCGGGUACGAACUAGUACAGGUGCUGCAUGGCUGUCGUCAGCUCGUGUCGUGAGAUGUCGGGUUAAGUCCCUUAACGAGCGAAACCUUUGCCCUUAGUUACUAACGGGUUAUGCCGAGGACUCUAAGGGACUGCCGGUGUCAAACCGGAGGAAGGUGGAGAUGACGUCAAGUCCUCAUGGCCUUUAUGCCCAGGGCCACACACGUGCUACAAUGGGGUGCACAGAGCGAACCGAGAGCGCAAGCUGGAGGAAAUCGCAUAAAUCACCCCCGAGUU
rnacentral:rRNA from 1 species